rnacentral:rRNA from 1 species
GCGUCGUCUUCAGAGUUUGAUCCUGGCUCAGGAUGAACGCUGGCGGCGUGCCUAACACAUUCAAGUCGAACGGAGUUAUUACGAAUGAAGUUUUCGGAUGGAUUUUGUUUAACUUAGUGGCGGACGGGUGAGUAACGCGUGAGCAACCUGCCUUUGCAACCGGGAUAACAGCUGGAAACGACUGCUAAUACCGGAUGAUGCACAUUGGUCGCAUGUCCGAUGUGCCAAAGAUCCGUUGUGCAAAGAUGGGCUCGCGUCUGAUUAGAUAGUUGGUGAGGUAACGGCUCACCAAGUCGACGAUCAGUAGCCGGACUGAGAGGUUGAACGGCCACAUUGGAACUGAGAUACGGUCCAG